GACCACCCGAACAAGCGGGUCGAGGCCAUACGGACAGCCGGGUCCACUGCCGA
rnacentral:sRNA from 1 species